GAUGAACGCUGGCGGCGUGCCUAAUACAUGCAAGUCGAGCGAACGAAGGUGGUGCUUGCCUCUCUUCUGUUAGCGGCGGACGGGUGAGUAACACGUGGCUAACCUGCCUUUGAGAAUGGGAUAACUUCGGGAAACCGAAGCUAAUACCGGAUCAUAUUUUGAACCGCAUGGUUCAACAGUGAAAGACGUUCUUGCUGUCCCUUAUUCAUGUAUCCGCGCUGCAUUAGCUAGUUGGUAAGGUAACGGCUUACCAAGGCAACGAUGCAUAGCGGACCUGAGAGGGUGAUCGGCCACACUGGAACUGAGACACGGUCAAGACUCCUACGGGAGGCAGCAGUGGGGAAUCUUGGGCAAUGGGCGAAAGCCUGACGGAGCAACGCCGCGUGAGUGAGGAAGGUCUUCGGAUCGUAAAACUCUGUUAUUAGGGAGGAAGAUAUGUGUAAGGAAAUGUGCAUAUAUUGACGGUACCUAAUCAGAAAGCCACGGCUAACUACGUG
rnacentral:rRNA from 1 species